ACGGGUGAGUAACGCGUGAGUAACCUGCCUUUCAGAGGGGGAUAACGUUCGGAAACGAACGCUAAUACCGCAUGACAUAUCGAGACCACAUGGUUUUGAUAUCAAAGGAGCAAUCCGCUGAAAGAUGGACUCGCGUCCGAUUAGCCAGUUGGUGAGGUAACGGCCCACCAAGCCCACGAUCGGUAGCCGGACUGAGAGGUUGAUCGGCCACAUUGGGACUGAGACACGGCCCAGACUCCUACGGGAGGCAGCAGUGGGGGAUAUUGCACAAUGGAGGAAACUCUGAUGCAGCGACGCCGCGUGAGGGAAGAAGGUCUUCGGAUUGUAAACCUCUGUCUUUGGGGACGAAACAAAUGACGGUACCCAAAGAGGAAGCCACGGCUAACUACGUGCCAGCAGCCGCGGUAAUACGUAGGGAGCGAGCGUUGUCCGGAUUUACUGGGUGUAAAGGGUGCGUAGGCGGCUCUGCAAGUCAGGCGUGAAAUACAUGGGCUUAACCCAUGGACUGCGUUUGAAACUGUGGAGCUUGAGUGAAGUAGAGGUAGGCGGAAUUCCCGGUGUAGCGGUGAAAUGCGUAGAGAUCGGGAGGAACACCAGUGGCGAAGGCGGCCUACUGGGCUUUAACUGACGCUGAAGCACGAAAGCAUGGGUAGCAAACAGGAUUAGAUACCCUGGUAGUCCAUGCCGUAAACGAUGAUUACUAGGUGUGGGGGGGUCUGACCCCUUCCGUGCCGGAGUUAACACAAUAAGUAAUCCACCUGGGAAGUACGACCGCAAGGUUGAAACUCAAAUGAAUUGACGG
rnacentral:rRNA from 1 species